rnacentral:rRNA from 1 species
AUUGAACGCUGGCGGCAUGCCUUACACAUGCAAGUCGAACGGUAACGCGGGGGCAACCCUGGCGACGAGUGGCGAACGGGUGAGUAAUACAUCGGAACGUGUCCUGUUGUGGGGGAUAACCCAUCGAAAGGUGAGCUAAUACCGCAUGAUCUGGAGACAGCAAAGCAGGGGACCGGAAACGGCCUUGCGCGAUUGGAGCGGCCGAUGUCCGAUUAGCUAGUUGGUGGGGUAAAGGCCCACCAAGGCAACGAUCGGUAGCUGGUCUGAGAGGAUGAUCAGCCACACUGGGACUGAGACACGGCCCAGACUCCUACGGGAGGCAGCAGUGGGG